UUCAUUCUUUCAAGAAAAAGAAAAAAACACCCCUACCCUCUCUCCUUCUUAUUACCUGAAAACUUCAUGAAAACCACCAUAAAUUUCUACUAAAUCAACCAGCAAAAUUCAUUCUUUGUGAAGCUCAAGUUGCUCCUCUCUUUUGUGGAAGUGGAAGGAUUUGGUUUGUCUAGGGCGUAGACGAUUCGAACGUCCUGAAGUGGUGGUUGAACUAUUUUGUGGUAAAACACCAAGGUAAUGUACGGGAUGGAAUUUGAAGACGGCCUUAUGAAGUAGUCUUUUUUUUGGGAGUACUUAUGGAGAUCACAUUUGCAUAUGCACCAUGGUUUUGUAUAGUUUUGGGACUUGUACAU